rnacentral:rRNA from 1 species
UAAGGAAUAUUGGUCAAUGGGCGCAAGCCUGAACCAGCCAUGCCGCGUGCAGGAAGACGGCCCUAUGGGUUGUAAACUGCUUUUGUCAGGGAAUAAACCCCCGCUCGUGAGCGGGGCUGAAGGUACCUGAAGAAUAAGCAUCGGCUAACUCCGUGCCAGCAGCCGCGGUAAUACGGAGGAUGCAAGCGUUAUCCGGAUUCAUUGGGUUUAAAGGGUGCGCAGGCGGAUUGGUAAGUCAGGGGUGAAAUCCCACAGCUCAACUGUGGGACUGACUUGGAUACUGGCAGUCUAGAUUAUAGUUGAAGUGGGCGGAAUGUGUCAUGUAGCGGUGGAAUGCUUAGAUAUGACACAGAACACCGAUCGCGAAGGGAGCUCGCUAAGCUAUAACUGACGCUCAUGCACGGAAGCGUGGGG